CCUGAGAAACCCAAAAGAUCGAAUGGGGAGAUUCAUCGUCAGCGGCGUUGGCUUCCGUGCGGUUCGCGAUGGCCGGGGCUUCGGCUCCGCGUCACGCGUCCGCUGCGGUAUGUCCGGCGUCGUCGGCGUGCACUUCUCCCCUAGUAGGACGUCGCGACCCGUUGGGUGCUGGCCUACGGCCCGGUUGGUCGACUGUCUCGUCGCGUUCGCGCGUACGAGGCAGACCAUCGGUCGCCCGGCCGGCUGCCCGGCGGUAUAGAUCGCUAAUUGAACGGUAUUGGGCCGCAUUAAGUGCGUUCCUGGCUCGUCGGCAGGCUCGUCUCGCUCGGAUUUACGGACCUAGUGCCGUUGCCGGGCGCUUGGCGUGGCCGUUAGUCGACGAUGUCCUCGGACUGGCUCUCAUAUUCGAACGGAUAUACCGGUCGGCGACGCUACUGCUUUGGGUACUUUC
rnacentral:rRNA from 1 species